GUACGGUGAUCCUUCGCUUAGAGUAUCGAUGAAAACCAGGAAAGAGAACUCCAAGCGAAGCGAAGAUCAAAUCAACAUAUAGAUAUGAAAUUCCAAUAUCUCGAUUUGACCUAAAAGAGGCUAAUAUGUAGAAAAUAGGUUUUAGAUGAAAUCCGAGCCUCUAGGGUUUCUCAAACAUGUACUUUCGUGAUGCUUGAUACGUUAGAGAGCCCCAAUAGCUUAUUUAUAGAUUUUAGAAUCAAUUAGAAUCGGAUUAGAAAGUUUUUCAGGAUUUUACAUUGUGUACCGGUACACUUUCAAGCUGUUACCGGUUACACGAUGACGGAACAGAAAUCCUGCGCAACACUGUAACCGGUGACAAGUCGCUGGUUGUACCGGAACACAUUUUGUACCGGUACACUUCCGAUGUUGUACCGGUACACUUUGCAUAAAUCUGAUUUUUGCACAGUUUCGGGUUUUGCAAAGUUCCGAUGCACUUUCUAAUCCAGUAAACAUUGAUUUUCUGAUUCUAAUGCCUACAACUAAGUAUGAAUCACCAUAACAUGAAUUAAAAACUUACCUGGGCAUCGUGAUUCACGUCGUGAGUUAUUUUCCGAUUUCUUCGAAGUCUUGGAUUCUUCGAUCUUCGACGAUACGCACCGAUCCUUCAAGACUCCGACUCAAUCCACGAAAUUUGCCAACACACAAGACUGAACAAUCUCUCCCUUUGGCAAUUUCGUGACAAAACUCACAACAACUCAAAAAUUACAUCUUAAAGAAAAACGAAGUUCAAUAUCAUCACCGAAACAUCGAACCCCUCGCAUGUAGUCCAAAUACAAUUUGAAAUUCAUAAAUACAACAAAAACUCCUAAAACAUACUCUAUGACUUAGACACAACUAGGAGUCUUGAAGUCUUGAUCUUCUGCAAAACAAAUUAUCCAAAAACAAUGUAAAGUUUAAUCAACAUUAAAUUCUUAUACCUUCUCCCCUUUUGUUUUCAAUCACUUCUCCCCCUUUGUUCAUGAAAUCAUCCUCUUCAUCCUCUGCUUUGAUCAAUACCUGUUCUUCUUAUGAUCUCCUCCUUUUUGUUAAAAAUUGCCAAAAGAAAGCAUAUAGAGAGAAAAUCACUAAAAAACAGAAAUGUAGUCAUGUCAUAGUUACAGGCCUAAAUCAAAAUGCUAAAACAAGCAAAGUAAACAUCGUCCUAAAAGCAAAGUAGAAAAACAAAGCUCGAAGAUGACAUCUCUCGGUAUACUCAUCAUCAUCAUCGUCGUCGCCUGCCCCAGCACCAGAUCCUCCUGCAUCCGGUGCACUAGUAGACGGUGGAAUAAGCGGAUGUCGCGAAGUCGACCUCGUGUAGGUGGUGUAGGUAGGCUGAGUAGGAAAUAUGUCGUCAUGCCUACAUCCUAGCUUCUCCAAUAUCCUCCUCAUUCCCACCUCCACCUUCUUAGUAAGAUCUGCCACCUUCUUCUUUAAGGAGCGCACCUCAUGGUGAAGUGAUUCUACAGUAAUCACUCUCCCUGAACUGGAAGAUCCCUCACGCUCUGCUCGAGGUGGAGGUGCUGAACUAGAAGCGCCUCUGGAUGAUCCCUUAGUUUGCUGGAAUGUCUUCAGUGUGCUGACUGACUUGGCCCAAGUUACUGCAUCAAUCGGUCCAAGGCCAGUGUCGUACUUUUCACACGAGACAUCUACUCCGUUCUCCUGCAAAAUCCGAGUGAUCAACAAAGGAAAAGGAAGUAGAUCACGUCGCACUGAAGACUGGAUAACAUACACCAUCCGUUGCCACAUUAGGAAUGGUAUGUUGAUAUUCAAACCAUCUGCCUGCUCAGGGUGACCAUGAAGAUAUAAAAGAACUAAUCGAUCCCAUCGAAUCCUCUUGGUCCCAAUCGUCGGUUGAACAUUAUAGGACAUAACCAAGGAUAAUAAAUGAUACUCGGGUCGCAAAUCCUUGGAUUUCACGUAGGCAUGAUUCGUCCUCACGCCAUCCUUGCAGAUUGCUCGAGUAACCGUCUCCCAGUGAGAUGACGACUGAUAUAUCCCCAAUGUAUGAUGAAGGCCAGUCGUGUCAACGUGCAUGCCCAACAACUCUCCAAUCGUGUGAGGAGUGACUACGAUCUUCUGCUGCCGCACAUAGGUCUCAAAUAAAUAAGUCCCUGUCUCCUCAUCCUCAGCAAGCACCCUCCCGUUCAUGUAGAACUCCCGAAUGAGUUCCACACAAAAAGGUGCACGAGCAGGAACUCGUCCAACGGGCUCAAUGGGGACCCUCUGAAGCAACCGUCCAAACUCCGGAACCUCCUGGAUAAGUUCAUAGAAGUUAACAUAUCGCUCCGCUAUGCAUGAUCUGUUUGAAAAUGUCCUCCGCCGCUCAGAUGGAACAUCCGCGGCUUGCUUUGAGCGACUCUCUCGUGCAUGAGAGCCACCUCCGCGUGAUGAUUCUCCAGCUAGGCCUUUCCUUUGUCAGUUGGAGCAAUCGGUUCUUCAGUAUCCUCCGGAGAGCUCGCUUGGUAAUCUGGAUCAGCCCCUGGUGACUCGCCGGCAAUACGAGUCCUCUUAGAAGCCCCUCGACGGCCUCUACCACGACCACAACCUCUCCCCGCGGCCAUAAGUACCAAUAGCAUCAAAACCAAUGAGAAUGCCAUUUUUCCUACAUAAAAAGUAACCUUGCAUGAACAAAAUCUUGAAAAAAUUUGUAAAAAUAGCGAAAAAAUUUCUAAUAACAUUAGAAUGCAUAAGAACACUAUCUCUAUCAGAUUCAUGCAAGAAUAAUCAGUAAAAGUGGCAUUCUGCAAGAAAUCCCGAAAAUUCAUGUAUAUAGAGGUACAGAUCAUAGAUCAGCAAAAAACAAUGCGUUAUAACAUGAUCUAAGUGUACUAGAAGCAAGAAUAUAUGUCUAAACACUGAUUCACAGCAAAAAAUUGCAUAAAAAACGAUUAACGACAGAAAUCAUGCUUCAACUCGGAAUAUUUUCGAAAAAUUAGCAAAACCGGGAUGAAAUGAAUAAAUCCGAGGAAGAUGCUCACAAAUCUUUGGAGAAAACGAGUAGAUCUGGAGGAGAAGGUCACCUGGGAAUUUUAGAGAGAAAGAGAGAGUUUUGGUUUUGAUUUGGGAGAGAAACGAAAUCCUGUAACCAGUUAUAAAACGCGGUCUACAGUGAUUUGUACCGGUACACGGUAUUUUGUACCGGUACACUUUUCAGAUUUCGAAAAUUUGCGAUUUUUUUUUUCAAAACUCCUUCAAAAUCAAAUUAAUUUCAUAGGAAUUUAAAAAUUGUACUCCAAAAAUCAUUAUGAUGAAAAUAAAUUAUUAUAAGAUUUCAAAAUACAUCGAAUCAUCAAAAUUUGUUAUCGAAAAUAAUUUAAUAAUUCAAAACCAUUAAGAUAUAAGUUGAUGAAAAAUGAUUUUUAGAAAUUCAACAAAAUUGACACCAAUUUGUCGCAACUCGUUCAAAAUAGAGAUUUAACUAACUUUGAACAUCUUUUCAUCCUACCACCUUAUACUUCCGAAAAUUUUAAUAUAUUUAUUGUUUUUUCAACCUUUUCGGUUAUUCAAUUAAUUUCCAUGUAGUAGCUUCACACACUUGCCGGACGACCGGGGUGGUAACUCUUUCCUACAUGUGGUGGUAGUUUUCACACUCCUUUUGGAUGUAACUCUUUCCACAUCUUUUAAACAUAAAAGUUUUUCCUUUUUUUUUUUAAAAUAAUAUAAACUCUCCCUAAAUUAAACAAUCUCACAAUUGAAAAAUAAUUUUGACAAAUUUUAGUCUAUUAGCAAAGAUCCAUCAAUCAUAUUCAACACUCACAACCAAGAUGAAUUAAUCACCAAGAGAUCAAAAUUGAUUUCAAAAUUUUGAUGAAUAUUUGUAUUAAGAAUUCAUAUAAUUAAUUAUCGUCAAAAUAAUAAAAGGUGGAGUAAAACCGAUAAUUAAUAUGAAUUUAACUUAAUAUGAAUGUGAAAAUACCGUUUAAAACACUUUGAAAAAUUUAAUCUCCCUAAAAUAAUGAUUUUCAAUCAUCUCCUUUCUCAAGAAAUUUUAAUUCCCUAUCACCUUUCCUCAAAAGAUUUUAAAAACACAAAAUUUAAGCACCAAAAAUCAUCCAAACAUGUAAUGCAAUGAAUACAAAUAUGCAAUAAGCACCAAACAAAGCAUUACAUUAUCGAUAAAACAAACUAAGACAAAGAGCAAGGAAAGAUAUCACCUUUCCGGAUCCACACUUGUCGAAUUGUUGGUUGUCUUGGCUUGUCGACGUUAGGUACACCUUGUUUUGAUUUUGGCUCAACCGUUGAUCGUUUCGUUGCUUGAAGCUUCGGUUGAACUUGUCGUUGAAGCUUAGAGAUCCGAUUUGCUUGAGGUUUCGGUUGGAAUUAAUGUUGUGGCUUAUAAUUCCGUGGGGGAAGUCGAGUAGUAGAGGGUGCCGCUUGAUGUUUCGAAGUUGCCGAUUGAUUCUUCUUAGUCUUGUUUGGGCAACCCUUUUUGAUGUGUCCUUUGAUGCCACAUCGAUGACACACCUUUUCUUUUAAAGUUGUUGAGACUUUAAAAAUUGACUUUUGAUCCUUCUCAACAUACGUUCUUACAUAUCCGAGGCCAAGUUUGUCCGUUUGACCCAAUCUGAGCAUAUGAUCCAAUUUCUUUGAUCCCGAAGAAAACUUUUGAAUAUCGGAUUGGAGUUUACGAACUUGAUCGGUCAAGGAUUGAUUGGAUUUGUACGAUUCCUCCAAUUAUUGCUCCAAAAAUCCAACUUUAUCCUUAUAUGAUUUGAUCGUUGAAUCCGCUUCAUUAAGCUUCUCUUGGAGGAUCGAAUUGUUCUUCAACGUUGAUUCCCUUUCCUCCUCAAGAGCUUUAUUCAUUGUCUUCAAGUUGUUGUUUUCCUCUUCGAGAUCCAACAAACGACGCCUCAACUUCUUAUUAAGUUUGGCCAUCUUUUUCGAUUCGAUAAGAAGUUGGUUGUACGCUUCCGAUAUAUCCUCGUCGUUUGAUUCCUCCUCGCUUUCGCCGUUGUCGCUCGAUGACCCAUGCAAAGAAGGCGAAAUACUACAAUUAGAAACAAUAGAGGAUAAAUAAACAACGUUGGACGAAGGCAAAGAAGUGUUAGUAAACAAAGCAAGUUCAUUCUUUCCUUCGUCACUUGAACUUGAUUCACUAGAAGUUGAAUCAUCCCAAGUCUUUGCUUGCAAAGCCUUUUGUCUAUAUGUUUUCUUUGAAGGACAAUCCGUUGCAAUAUGGCCGUAGCCUUUACAUUUGUAGCAUUGGAUUUCCCCUUCAAAUUCAUCUUUUUCUUUUGAAGACUUUGCAAAUUUCUUAUCUUUAGAUUUAGAAGAUGAAGAUGAUUUAGAAAAAGGUUGUUGCUUAGACGAUGAAGCCUUGUCCGAUUUAUUCUUCUUCGGAAAUUCCAGCGAAACUUCUUCGUUAAGAGCGCCAAUUGAUGUUCGAAAUCAGCAAGCGAAACAUCUCCGUCGGAAUCCGAAUCGUCGUCUUCUUUCUUUGUCGAUUUGAGUGCAACCCCUGUACUUUUAGAAGAAGACUUGGAAGAAAAUUGGUUAGUAGGAAAAGUCAUCUCAUAAGUUUGCAAAGCACUUACUAACUCUUCGUCUUUCACCUCGUCUGGAUGCUUUACGGUUUCGAUCGCGGCAACUUUUGCCCGAAAGCGUUCCGGAAGAGUGCGAAGAUCUUUUUAACAACUUUAGCAUCCGGGAUUUUCUCUCCCAAGUUCGCGCAUGUAUUAACAACGCCUUGUAGACGCGUAUAGUACUCGGUAAAGGUCUCGUUUUCUUCUAUAAAAAUCGAGUCAAAUUUACUUGUAAACAUUUGUAAUUUUUGGACCUUUACUAAACUAGUUCCUUCAUGCGUAACUUGUAGAGUAUCCCAAAUCUCCUUGGCGGUAUUACACGCCGAAACGCGAGUGAACUCCGUUUGUGACAAUGCAUUAAAUAAAGCAUUUAUGCCAUUGCCAUUAAACGAAGAUGACUCGUUUUCAUCUUUCGUCCACUUGUUCCGCGGUUUAGGAACGGUAGCAUUAUCGACGACUUCGGUAGGAUGCUUCCAACCGAAUUCGAUUGCUUGCCAUACCCGCUCAUCGAUUGCAAUUAGAAAAGCUCUCAUGCGAACUUUCCAAUAGGCAUAAUUCGUGCCAUCGAAGAGAGGUGGUCGAUUAAUUUUACCGCCUUCGACCAUUAGAUAUCAAUUUAUCAAGAUCCCGCUCUAAUACCAAUUGUAAGUUUUGGGAUAGCCUAAGGAUCUAUCUAGAUUGUAUCUAACAUCUAGAGGGGGGUGAAUAGGUGUAACGGCCAAAAACCACAAAUCUCGAUGCAAUAAAAAUAAAUGCGGAAAAUAAAAAGCACACCGAGAUUUACGUGGGAAAACUCCAACUUGGAGAAAAACCCACGGGACCAACACGCGAAAAAAUAAUUCACUAAGAGAAAAGAUUACAAGGUGAUUACCGACUCCACGGACUCGACCUCUCUUAAUCUUUUACGAAUCUCGCGCAAUCCUCCGGGUUGUCCACGCCCUCACAUUCGAAUCCACGAACGCCACGUUCCGAAUCCACGAAAUGCCUCCACUCCGAAUCCACGAAGCUCACGAUCCGAAUCCACGAACCGCCGUCAAUCACGCCGAAUCCACGACGCCGUCAUGAAGAACAUCAUAUGUACGGUGAUCCUUCGCUUAGAGUAUCGAUGAAAACCAGGAAAGAGAACUCUAAGCGAAGCGAAGAUCAAAUCGACAUAUAGAUAUGAAAUUCCAAUAUCUCGAUUUGUCCUAAAAGAGGCUAAUAUGUAGAAAAUAGGUUUUAGAUAAAAUCCGAGCCUCUAGGGUUUCUCAAACAUGUAUUUUCGUGAUGCUUGAUACGUUAGAGACCCCAAUAGCUUAUUUAUAGAUUUUAGAAUCAAUUAGAAUCGGAUUAGAAAGUUUUUCAGGAUUUUACAUUGUGUACUGGUACACUUUCAAGCUGUUACCGGUUACACGAUGACGGAACAGAAAUCCUGCGCAACACUGUAACCGGUGACAAGUCGCUGGUUGUACCGGAACACAUUUUGUACCGGUACACUUUGUAUAAAUCUGAUUUUUGCACAGUUUUGGGUUUUGCAAAAUUCCGAUGCACUUUCUAAUCCAGUAAACAUUGAUUUUCUGAUUCUAAUAACUACAACUAAGUAUGAAUCACCAUAACAUGAAUUAAAAACUUACCUGGGCAUCGUGAUUCACGUCGUGAGUUAUUUUCCGAUGUCUUUGAAGUCUUGGAUUCUUCGAUCUUCGACGAUACGCACUGAUCCUUCAAGACUCCGACUCAAUCCACGAAACUUGCCAACACACAAGACUUAACAAUUGUUUUAUUAAUGAUUAUACAUAUAUAUAGGACUAUUUUCAUACAAAGGUAAUUAAUAAUAAUUAAUAUAAAUGCAAUUAUCUUUAUAUAAAUAUAAGUUAACUAUCUCUCUUUUUAUUUUAGUAGGUAUUGUUCCAUAUAUAUCUAAAUAAUUACAUUUAUAAAUAUUGGUGAAUAAUUUUGUAGUAGUUAGAUGUUAUUAUACUAGAUAAUUUUUCAAGUGUUGGCCUGUCAAAUGAUG
rnacentral:lncRNA from 1 species